rnacentral:rRNA from 1 species
AUUAAACGCUGGCGGCAUGCCUUACACAUGCAAGUCGAACGGCAGCACGGGGGCAACCCUGGUGGCGAGUGGCGGACGGGUGAGUAAAGCAUCGGAACGUAUCCUGGAGUGGGGGAUAACGUAGCGAAAGUUACGCUAAUACCGCAUAUUCUGUGAGCAGGAAAGCAGGGGAUCGCAAGACCUUGCGCUCUGGGAGCGGCCGAUGUCGGAUUAGCUAGUUGGUGGGGUAAAGGCCUACCAAGGCGACGAUCCGUAGCGGGUCUGAGAGGAUGAUCCGCCACACUGGGACUGAGACACGGCCCAGACUCCUACCGGGAGGCAGCAGUGGGGAAUUUUGGACAAUGGGCGCAAGCCUGAUCCAGCCAUGCCGCGUGAGUGAAGAAGGCCUCGGUUGUAAG